rnacentral:tRNA from 1 species
GGGGGUAUAGCUCAGUGGCAGAGCACAUGCUUAGCACGCAUGAGGUCCUGGGUUCAAUCCCCAGCACCUCCA